rnacentral:rRNA from 1 species
GACGAACGCUGGCGGCGUGCCUAAUACAUGCAAGUCGAACGAACUCUGGUAAUGAUUGGUGCUUGCAUCAUGAAUUACAUUUGAGUGAGUGGCGAACUGGUGAGUAACACGUGGGAAACCUGCCCAGAAGCGGGGGAUAACACCUGGAAACAGAUGCUAAUACCGCAUAACAACUUGGACCGCAUGGUCCGAGUUUGAAAGAUGGCUUCGGCUGUCACUUUUGGAUGGUCUCGCGGCGUAUUAGCUAGAUGGUGAGGUAACGGCUCACCAUGGCAAUGAUACGUAGCCGACCUGAGAGGGUAAUCGGCCACAUUGGGACUGAGACACGGCCCAAACUCCUACGGGAGGCAGCAGUAGGGAAUCUUCCACAAUGGACGAAAGUCUGAUGGAGCAACGCCGCGUGAGUGAAGAAGGGUUUCGGCUCGUAAAACUCUGUUGUUAAAGAAGAACAUAUCUGAGAGUGACUGUUCAGGUAUUGACGGUAUUUAACCAGAAAGCCACGGCUAACUACGUGCCAGCCGCCGCCGUAA